GACGAACGCUGGCGGCGUGCCUAAUACAUGCAAGUCGAACGAGUGGCGGACGGGUGAGUAACAAGUGGGAACCUACCCAUCAGAGGGGGAUAACACUUGGAAACAGGUGCUAAUACCGCAUAUUGAUGGAUGGACCCGCGGUGCAUUAGCUAGUUGGUGAGGUAACGGCUAACUUAGGCGACGAUCCCUCGCUGGUCGUAGAGGAUGACCAGCCAAACGGGAACUGAGACACGGUCCAGACUCCUACGUGAGGCAGCAGUGGGGAAUAUUGCACAAUGGGCGCAAGCCUGAUGCAGCCAUGCCGCGUGUGUGAAGAAGGCCUUCGGGUUGUAAAGCACUUUCAGCGGGGAGGCGUUACCCGCAGAAGAAGCACCGGCUAACUCCGUGCCAGCAGCCGCGGUAAUUC
rnacentral:rRNA from 1 species